UGAAGCUGGAAUCGCUAGUAAUCGCAGGUCAGCAUACUGCGGUGAAUACGUUCCCGGGUCUUGUACACACCGCCCGUCACACCAUGGGAGCUGGUAACACCCGAAGUCAGUAGUCUAACCGCAAGGAGGACGCUGCCGAAGGUGGGAUUAGCGACUGGGGUGAAGUCGUAACAAGGUAGC
rnacentral:rRNA from 1 species